rnacentral:sRNA from 1 species
AUCUCAGAAACACAGCUUUUACAAAGGAUAAAUGAAGAGAAAUUCACCAGAGAUACAUUGUAAUGAAUCUGUAAAUCACCAAAGCUAAAGAUAUUAUUUCACAAGUGGAAUGACAGCUGACUUCUCAACAACAACGAAAGCAAGGAGACAGUUGAAAGACAUCUUGAAAAUGGAAUUAGCAGUUCACAAAGCACAUUCACAUAUAAGGGCUUGUUUUGAAUUGAUCUUGGCAGCAAUUCUAUGAGACAAGUAAAAGCACAAGAGGAAUAGGAACUGCACCUCUUCCUUCAGUUUCAGCUUGAAUAAUAUCAGGAAGAUUUGUAUCGGUGUGAGUUGGGUCACGUACCCGACGUGCUAUAGCUGAGGAUGGGAGCGUUGGGGACCUUGUCUGGCUUGUUCCCAAUGCCUGGAAGAGUGCCUGGCACACAGGAUUAAGCCAACACAUAUGUUUUGAAUGAAUGUGUGCACACAUGCAUGAGCUGGCGGCAGUCGGGGUUGGG